UACGUAGGGUGCGAGCGUUACUCGGAAUUACUGGGCGUAAAGCGUGCGCAGGCGGCGCGUUAAGACAGGUGUGAAAGCCCCGAGCUUAACUUGGGAAUUGCGCUUGUGACUGGCGUGCUGGAGUGUGGCAGAGGAGACUGGAAUUCCUGGUGUAGCAGUGAAAUGCGUAGAUAUCAGGAGGAACACCGAUGGCGAAGGCAGGUCUCUGGGCUGACACUGACGCUCAUGCACGAAAGCGUGGGGAGCAAACAGG
rnacentral:rRNA from 1 species